GCGCUGGUAUGGUCCGUUCGAGCCAGUCGAACCCAAUCAGGUUGGGUCAGGGAAUCCGGUGCGAAUCCGGAGCUGACGCGC
rnacentral:tRNA from 1 species